ACGAACGCUGGCGGCGUGCUUAACACAUGCAAGUCGAACGGAAAGGCCCUUCGGGGUACUCGAGUGGCGAACGGGUGAGUAACACGUGGGUGAUCUGCCCUGCACUUUGGGAUAAGCCUGGGAAACUGGGUCUAAUCCCGAUUAGAACCGCGCGUUCCAUGGGUGGGGUUGGAAAGCUUUUGCGGUGUGGGAUGGGCCCGCGGCCUAUCAGCUUGUUGGUGGGGUAAUGGCCUACCAAGGCGACGACGGGUAGCCGGCCUGAGAGGGUGACCGGCCACACUGGGACUGAGAUACGGCCCAGACUCCUACGGGAGGCAGCAGUGGGGAAUAUUGCACAAUGGGCGCAAGCCUGAUGCAGCGACGCCGCGUGAGGGAUGACGGCCUUCGGGUUGUAAACCUCUUUCACCAGGGACGAAGCGCAAGUGACGGUACCUGGAGAAGAAGCACCGGCCAACUACGUG
rnacentral:rRNA from 1 species